rnacentral:rRNA from 1 species
UACGGAGGGGGCUAGCGUUGUUCGGAAUUACUGGGCGUAAAGCGCACGUAGGCGGAUCGUUAAGUCGGGGGUGAAAUCCUGGAGCUCAACUCCAGAACUGCCUUCGAUACUGGCGAUCUUGAGUCCGGAAGAGGUGAGUGGAACUCCUAGUGUAGAGGUGGAAUUCGUAGAUAUUAGGAAGAACACCAGUGGCGAAGGCGGCUCACUGGCCCGGUACUGACGCUGAGGUGCGAAAGCGUGGGGAGCAAACAGG